rnacentral:rRNA from 1 species
UUUCCGUAGGUGAACCUGCGGAAGGAUCAUUACUGAACUGUCGACACGAGUUGUUGCUGGCCCUCAAACGGGGGAAUGUGCACGCUCUGUUUACACACCCACUCACACCUGUGCACCCUCUGUAGUUCUGUGGUGUGGAGGGCUCUGUCCUCCCACCGUGGUUCUAUGUUUUUACACACACACUGUGAUAAAGUCUCAUGGAAUGUAUGUCGCGUCUAACGCAAUACAAUACAACUUUCAGCAACGGAUCUCUUGGCUCUCGCAUCGAUGAAGAACGCAGCGAAAUGCGAUAAGUAAUGUGAAUUGCAGAAUUCAGUGAAUCAUCGAAUCUUUGAACGCACCUUGCGCCCUUUGGCUAUUCCGAAGGGCAUGCCUGUUUGAGUAUCAUGAACACCUCAACUCUCAUGGUUUUCCAUGAUGAGCUUGGACUUUGGGGGUCUUGCUGGCCUAUGGUCAGCUCCUCCCAAAUGAAUCAGCUUGCCAGUGUUUGGUGGAGUCACAGGUGUGAUAACUAUCUACGCUUGUGUUGUCCCAUCAGGUAACCUUCAGUGAUGGAGGUUCGCUGGAGCUCACAAAUGUCUAUCCUCUCAGCGAGGACAG